CUGGGCCACACGGGUGGUGCAAUGCCCGUUCAUAGAGAGCAUCCGUCUCGUAGGUAGGCCGAAAUCGAGGCGCACGCUUCGCAGUUGGGUUCGGGGUCUCAACUCGACACUCUGGGACAAGAUUCAUUACGUGUCGCAUUCUUUCAAAUCCGGUGACGCGUUCCUGGGCACUGCCCCUCCCACCAGCGAGCAAUUAAACACGGAGACGCUGAGUUCUCUCGUAGGCAGCGGUCCACGGUA
rnacentral:rRNA from 1 species